ensembl:snoRNA
AUCCUUUUGUAGUCUGUUAUAAGCGUGAUGAUUGGGUCUUCGUAUGCAUAUGUGAGAUGUGCCACCCUCAAACCUUGUUAUGACAUCAUCAGCACGUUACCCUUCUGAUA